rnacentral:rRNA from 1 species
CUGGCUCAGGACGAACGCUGGCGGCGUGCUUAACACAUGCAAGUCGAACGAUGAAGCCNUUCGGGGUGGAUUAGUGGCGAACGGGUGAGUAACACGUGGGCAAUCUGCCCUUCACUCUGGGACAAGCCCUGGAAACGGGGUCUAAUACCGGAUAACACUCUGUCCCGCAUGGGACGGGGUUAAAAGCUCCGGCGGUGAAGGAUGAGCCCGCGGCCUAUCAGCUUGUUGGUGGGGUGAUGGCCUACCAAGGCGACGACGGGUAGCCGGCCUGAGAGGGCGACCGGCCACACUGGGACUGAGACACGGCCCAGACUCCUACGGGAGGCAGCAGUGGGGAAUAUUGCACAAUGGGCGAAAGCCUGAUGCAGCGACGCCGCGUGAGGGAUGACGGCCUUCGGGUUGUAAACCUCUUCAGCAGGAAGAAGCAAAG